AUGGAUAUAACAUUUCCUCCGGGUGCGUAUUUCAGUAUAGCAGUUAUUUUUCUCACCGUGAUCAUCACAAAAGUUAUUGUAAGAAGAAUCGUUGCUCCAAGGCCAGAAAAGGGGUCGCUUCAGCCACCUAUUGCAAGUGGUGCUUCUCUUGUAGCUGCUUUGCCUACGAUCCUGACCAAGGGUUUACAUCCAGUACUCCAUGACCUGCAUGCAAAGCUGGGCAGUGCAUUCACAAUGAAUCUGUUUGGUUUGAAGAAGGUGACUUUAUUGGUUGGACCGGAGGUCACAUCUCAUUUCUUUCAAGCCAAGAACUCGGAACUCUGCCACCCGGAUAUGUAUAAAUUCACUAUCCCUAUUUUCGGCAAAGGAGUUAUUUUUGAUGUGGAUUUCGAAACUAGAAACAGACAGAUACGCUUGGCUAUAGAUGCAAUGAAGCCAACACAAUUGAGAAGCAAAGUUGAUUAUAUGGUUCAUGAAGUACAGGACUACUUCUCAAAAUGGGAACAAGAGGGCAUAAUUGAUCUAAAGCAUGAGCUGGCAGAGGUACUCAUGCUAAUCGCAAGCCGUUGCUUGCUUGGAAAAGAGGUCCGUGAGAAGAUGUUCGAACAAGUCUCUGUGCUCAUCAAUGAUCUCUGCAAAAAUGGCAUGCACUUCAUCAGCCUUUUUUUCCCAUAUAUCCCAAUCCCAGCCCACCGGCAACGCGACAAAGCGUGUGCUAAGCUGGGACAUAUAUUCCAUGAGAUAGUGAGAUCACGUAAAAUCUCAGGCCAAGUUGAGGAUGAUGUGCUACAGAAACUUAUAGACUCGAAAUGCAUGGAGGAUGGCCGCUCUAUGACCGAGAGUGAGAUUACUGGGCUACUCAUUAGCUUGUUGUUUGCUGGGCGGGAGCUUGUCUAA
rnacentral:rRNA from 1 species